GCCGGGUGCGGUGGCGCGCGCCUGUAAUCCAAGUUACCGGGAGGCUGAGGCUGGAGGACCGUUUGAGCUCAGGAGCUCUGAGCUGCAGCGGACUAUGUCGAUCGGGUGUCCGCACUAAGUUCGGUAUCGAUAUGGUGCUCCUGGGGGAGCCCGGGACCACCAGGUCGUCUAAGGAGGGGUGCACCGGCCCAGGUCGGUAACGGAGCAGGUCAAAGCCCCCGUGCCGCUCAGUAGUGGGAUCGCGCCUGUGAAUAGACGCUGUAGUGCAGCCUGAGUAAUACAGCGGGACCCAGUCUUUU
ensembl:misc_RNA Metazoa_SRP Metazoan signal recognition particle RNA